rnacentral:snRNA from 1 species
GGUUGUAAGGACCAUCUGGCUGCAGCAUUUGGCACUCUAGUGAUUGUCAAUGUUGAUUCAGCUAAUAAGGUCUGCUAAGCAGGUGUCCCCUUCCUCCCUCACCAUAGUUCCAUGGAUUUCCUCCCUGAAGCUGUGGCUUACUUGAAAAGGACAGUCUGUCCCUAUAGAGGAGUAUUGGCCUUUAGUUGAGAUCAUAGCUCACAUUUCUCUAGCCUUUUCUAGUUUACAGAGUUCUUUCCUCAGAACGACUCUGUGAGGCAGAUCGAGCAAAUGCCUCUAACCUCAUUUCACAGAUGAGGAAAUGGAAGUUCAGA